UAUUUGGCACAUGUGUUGUUAUAGGACUAAGAACAAUCAAGCAUUAUCUCUAUAGCUCGAUUGCUGCAAGCUAUCUGAAAAGAUGGCUGCGAUACUAGUCAAACUGUUGGUGAUGAUAAUGCUAUGCUCUGCUUGUGCACAAGCUCAAGCUCUCAGAUGCCGCACAAACGAGUACAUUAUCUCCCGCAAUGAAGUGAUCACACCCCCAGACAUGGUGGAGGCCUCUAACCAUGCAAGCAUUGCAUCGACAUCUACAGUUGCUGCAAAUGUGCUCUAUUUUGGCUACAAUGGCGAUGAUCUGUACACAUGGUGCAGUGAUACCAGUGAUAACAACCCAUACGUCAUUAUACGCUUUAGUCAGCCUGUCUUCAUAACAAGCUUUCUAUCUAGUGGAAGCACAGAUCAUUCAUUCAGUACACUAAAGACGUUCUAUGUAACCAACUUCACCAUGGAGCAUACCAACACCAGUGGAGAUUUUAACUACUACACAACAUUUGGUGGUCAAAGAAAGUAUUUCAAUCAAACUGAGCCAGUAGCCUUGUUCCGACUGGGUGGACCAAUAGUGACGGACGCCAUUCGCUUCAGACCCAUACAAGCGUCUGAUGGCAGUGGAACACUGAUUUGUCUCGGAGUGGCGCUCUUUGGCUGUACAGAGGCAGAAACAAUGGAAGAAGUAACAAAUGAACCAUUCACUAUGGCAACUACUAGCAGUGACUCUACAGCUAGCAACACAGGGGGUACAACUGAUAACAGAGAAACAAUUUCUACAGCUAGCAACACAGGGGGUACAAUUGCUACAGCUAGCAACACAGGGGGUACAACUGAUGUGGGGGGUAUAGCCACAGUACAGCCGGUUGUCUUGAGGGACUAUCAAACGUUGGAGAUAGCUCUGCCUAUUGGAAUAAUCACUAUCAUAGUAGUCAUAACAACGGUGGCAAUAGGAGUGCUCCUGUGUGUCAUUAAGGGGCGGAGUCAGCACAAAUAUGCUGUACCUCAGAGCAUCUCCCUCAACCCCACCUCACAUAUACUAGAUAACUCAGCUCUCUACAAUAUACCACGUCCAAUAGAUGACGGGACAAUAAAGAGAGUGAAUAAUGAGCUGUACGGCCAAGAUUCAAGAAAUAACAGUCUGAGUGCGGAGGCCAGCAACCUGGAGGUGAUCUACUCUGAUGAUAAUCACUACGAUUUCAUUGCAGAGCAGCCUACUAGCAAGGUCAAGGAGGGUGACACUAACAGCAUGUGCGGUAACUCAGCCUACGAGCUGGCUGACCACAGUGAGGGGGCAGAGGCCACACCCACUAGGAAAGAGGAUUUCGCACUCGCAAGGAGCAAUAGCUAUGAGGACGUCGAUGUACAUGUGGAGAAUUUGUACAAGGAGACUACACACUGAGAAUAAAUGAUAAUGAGCACUUGAACUUGAAGUUAAUUAGGUAGUUGUACUAUAGUAGGCCAUACAACGCAGUGUGUAUUGUUCAUUGUGGCAAUUGUAUUGUGUUGCUCAAAGUCAUUGUAAUGCCGUAAUAAGUUCAACAUGGUAUUUAUUAGGAGAUAGUAGCCAUGGACAUCACAAUACAUUAGACUCUAUAUAAAGUGACACACUAUGAGAUGCCUUAAUUGGCUGACACAUAAUCAAUGCAAAGGUCAAUACACAAGAGAAACAAAGUAGCGGAGAGUGUUAAAGUGUGCCUCCAGAGAUGUUAUCAUACUGGAUGAUUCUAGCGUUGGUUUUUAGUUGCUGCUGGAGCCGUGGACUAUCAGUGGUGGAAUGCCGCUCUGGACCACAAACUAAUAGACUACCAAUUGAAUCAGAAGUUGAGAUCACCUCCAACCUCAACUCCCUCCCUGGCCAUGGACCCAGUGAAGCUAGUCUAACCAGUGCUGGCUGGUGUUCAGAGACU